UACGGAGGAUGCAAGCGUUAUCCGGAUUUACUGGGUGUAAAGGGUGCGUAGGUGGCAUAUCAAGUCAGAUGUGAAAACUCUGGGCUCAACCCAGAGACUGCAUUUGAAACUGAUAAGCUGGAGUACAGGAGAGGAAAGCAGAAUUCCUAGUGUAGCGGUGAAAUGCGUAGAUAUUAGGAGGAAUACCGGUGGCGAAGGCGGCUUUCUGGACUGUAACUGACACUGAGGCACGAGAGCGUGGGGAGCAAAC
rnacentral:rRNA from 1 species